rnacentral:tRNA from 1 species
CCCUGGUUAGCUCAGUUGGCAGAACGCGUCACCUGUAAUGGAGAGGUCCCGGGUUCAAUACCCGGACUAGGCG